rnacentral:misc_RNA from 1 species
GAUGAAGAACGCAGCAAAAUGCGAUAAGUAAUGUGAAUUGCAGAAUUCAGUGAAUCAUCGAAUCUUUGAACGCACAUUGCGCCCGCCAGUAUUCUGGCGGGCAUGCCUGUCCGAGCGUCAUUUCAACCCUCGAGCCCCCCCGGGGGCUCGGCGUUGGGGACCGGCCCCUCCCCAGGGCGCCGCCCCCGAAAUACAGUGGCGGUCCCGCCGCAGCCUCCCCUGCGCAGUAGCUUGCACACUCGCACGCGGAGAGCGGCGCGGCCACGCCGUAAAACCCCCCACACCAUCUGAAAUGUUGACCUCGGAUCAGGUAGGAAUACCCGCUGAACUUAAGCAUAUCAAUAAGCGGAGGA